rnacentral:ncRNA from 1 species
GAAGGAAUUAAUAUUUGAUUCUGGUUUAGAUUAUAAAUUGAUUUUUAUGAUGAGUUAUAAUAUGUAAAUUUUUAUGAGUUUAAUUAACUAAUUUAAAUAAUUAGUUAAUAAUGAGCAAUUAUUCGCAGUUUUUCAUAUUAGUUAUGCAUUUGAGUGUGAUCUAGUCAAUUAUUUUAGGAUUAGCGAAAAUUGUGCCAGCAGCUGCGGUUAUACAAUUAAUCUUAGUCAAUUGUGUUGGUUUAAUUAUUAGUUAAAUAAUUAAUUGAUCUUAAAUUGUGUUUUAUUAAGGUGAAAUUUUAUUAACAUGUUUAUUGAUUAGGUUAUUAUAUUAUUAUAAGAAAUUUUAACUUAUAAACUAGGAUUAGAUACCCUAUUAUUUAAAAUUUAAAAUUUAACCUCAUUAUUAAUAGUUUUGAUCUUUAAAUUGAAAGGAUUUGACGGUAACUUAAUCAUUUUAGAGGAGCCUGUUUGUUAAUUGAUAAUCCACGAUAAAUCUUACCUUAAUUUUUAUGCUUGUAUAUCUCUGUCUAUUGGAUGUUUUAUUAGAAGUAACUUUCUUUUAUUUAUUGUAAAAUUCAUGGCAGGUCAAGGUGCAGCCUUGUUAGGGUUUAAAAUGGGCUACAUUUAAUUGUUUGGUUAUUGGAUUGAUUUAUUUAAUGGAUCAUGAAAUUGGAUUUAAUUGUAAUGUUAAAUAUAUAUUUUUCAUGAUAUAUGUUCUUGGUUAAGUACACAUCGCCCGUCGCUCUCAUUUCAAGAUGAGAUAAGUCGUAACAAAGUAGUCUUAUCGGAAGAUAAGGCUAGAAUGAAUA